CUAAGCCACCCAGGCGCCCCUCACGCCUGCAUUCUAACAACGUGCUUGCAUGACCUUGAAAAUGUGCGCGGCUCAGCUCAAGGUCUGGGGAAUGUCAAGGGGAGAGAACCCCACGGCAAAAUGCCCCACUAUGCUCUGAAUCUAUUACCACUAUGCCAAAGAUAUACUUCACCGAAAGAAAGAAAGAGAAGUAACAAUUCCACUGAGAUGAAGCUUAGUCAAGAAUCAAGACUGGGUAACUUUGAAAAUCACCAAUUCAUUCUUGGUGUUCUGCUGACCUCUGGUGGAGACUGCUUUUAACUACAACAAAUUGAAAGUCGAUUUGGGAAUGAAAUCUACUCUGCAUUAAAUUUCUCCUUUGAUAUUAGACACAUGGAGGAAGCACUCUGUGAUUAUGCCAUAGAUGUCCUUUCUCAGGCUGUGUCCGUGCCACAGAAUCACACAGAGGGGAUGACUGUGCUCCCUGCUGCCAUUGAUUGGUACGCACCUUCUCCCAGGUACUCGCAGGAAGAAUCUGCUUUGCAUGAAAUCUGUAAGUAGAGGGGGCGCCUGGGUGGCUCAUUCGGUUAAGUGUCUGCCUU